UGAUGCCCAGCUUGCUGGGCGGAUUAGUGGCGAACGGGUGAGUAAUACGUGAGUAACCUGCCCUUGACUCUGGGAUAAGCCUGGGAAACUGGGUCUAAUACUGGAUACUACCUCUUACCGCAUGGUGGGUGGUGGAAAGGGUUUUACUGGUUUUGGAUGGGCUCACGGCCUAUCAGCUUGUUGGUGGGGUAAUGGCUCACCAAGGCGACGACGGGUAGCCGGCCUGAGAGGGUGACCGGCCACACUGGGACUGAGACACGGCCCAGACUCCUACGGGAGGCAGCAGUGGGGAAUAUUGCACAAUGGGCGGAAGCCUGAUGCAGCGACGCCGCGUGAGGGAUGACGGCCUUCGGGUUGUAAACCUCUUUCAGUAGGGAAGAAGCGAGAGUGACGGUACCUGCAGAAGAAGCGCCGGCUAACUACGUGCCAGCAGCCGCGGUAAUACGUAGGGCGCAAGCGUUGUCCGGAAUUAUUGGGCGUAAAGAGCUCGUAGGCGGUUUGUCGCGUCUGCUGUGAAAGCCCGGGGCUCAACCCCGGGUCUGCAGUGGGUACGGGCAGACUAGAGUGCAGUAGGGGAGACUGGAAUUCCUGGUGUAGCGGUGAAAUGCGCAGAUAUCAGGAGGAACACCGAUGGCGAAGGCAGGUCUCUGGGCUGUUACUGACGCUGAGGAGCGAAAGCAUGGGGAGCGAACAGGAUUAGAUACCCUGGUAGUCCAUGCCGUAAACGUUGGGCACUAGGUGUGGGGGACAUUCCACGUUUU
rnacentral:rRNA from 1 species